UACAGAGGGGGCAAGCGUUGUUCGGAAUUACUGGGCGUAAAGGGCGCGUAGGCGGCCCGCUAAGUCGAACGUGAAAUCCCCGAGCUCAACUCGGGAACUGCGUCCGAUACUGGCGGGCUUGAAUCCGGGAGAGGGAUGCGGAACUCCAGGUGUAGCGGUGAAAUGCGUAGAUAUCUGGAGGAACACCGGUGGCGAAGGCGGCAUCCUGGACCGGCAUUGACGCUGAGGCGCGAAAGCUAGGGGAGCAAACGGG
rnacentral:rRNA from 1 species